CGAAAGCCUGACGGAGCAAGACCGCGUGGGGGAGGAAGGUUCUUGGAUUGUCAACCCCUUUUCUCAGGGAAGAACACUGACGGUACCUGAGGAAAAAGCAUCGGCUAACUCCGUGCCAGCAGCCGCGGUAAUACGGGGGAUGCAAGCGUUAUCCGGAAUGAUUGGGCGUAAAGAGUCCGUAGGUAGUCAUCCAAGUCUGCUGUUAAAGAGCGAGGCUUAACCUCGUAAAGGCAGUGGAAACUGGAAGACUAGAGUGUAGUAGGGGCAGAGGGAAUUCCUGGUGUAGCGGUGAAAUGCGUAGAGAUCAGGAAGAACACCGGUGGCGAAGGCGCUCUGCUGGGCUAUAACUGACACUGAGGGACGAAAGCUAGGGGAGCGAAUGGGAUUAGAUACCCCAGUAGUCCUAGCGGUAAACGAUGGAAACUAGGUGUGGCCUGUAUCGACCCGGGCCGUGCCGAAGCAAACGCGUUAAGUUUCCCGCCUGGGGAGUACGCACGCAAGUGUGAAACUCAAAGGAAUUGACGGGGGCCCGCACAAGCGGUGGAGUAUGUGGUUUAAUUCGAUGCAACGCGAAGAACCUUACCAGGACUUGACAUCUCUGGAAUCUCCUUGAAAGGGGAGAGUGCCGUAAGGAACCAGAAGACAGGUGCUGCAUGGCUUCUCAGCUC
rnacentral:rRNA from 1 species